rnacentral:lncRNA from 1 species
CGGGGAAGGGAGAAGGUCAUCCAACCAAUCUAGCUAAUGAAAAGCAUAGACCAGAAAUCUGAUAACAUGGAAAUCGGAUUUACAAUGGUGAAUUAAGUCUAAAAUUCAAAAGCAGUCUGUAAAAUUUCUUUGUGAAACAUAUUUUCUUUCUUUCUUUUUUUAAUUUCUUAUAAACUUCCUUCUGUUGACAAGCUGCAGCUUUUUCACUACAGAAUGGUAAUGUGCUCUGUUUGGGGCAUCCAUUGCUGGGCAAGUCAUUUGAUCUGACAAAAUGAACACGUGGUAGUGUUGCUCAGUUCUUGUGCUCUGGGAGUCUUCCAGGUGCUCCAAAGAGGGGGAAAUAGUCUUCCUUGUCAUAUAUUUGUAACCAAUCAAGUUCUGAUGAGAAAAUCUUGGAUCAUAUUUGUGGAGUUAUAAAACUUUAUCAAAAACUCCUCCCAAGUUUCUUUAAGAAAAUUAAAAAUAGUCUACCAUCUGAUCCACCAAUUCCACUCUUGGAUACAAUUCAAAGGAACGGAAAACAAUAUAUUGAAGAAAUACCUGCACUCCAUGCUCAUUGCAACACUACUCACAAUGGCCAAGAUGUGGAAUCCAGCCUGUUGUCAGUCAGUGUAUGAGGGGGAAAGAAAAUGUGAUCUAUGAACAUGAUGGAAUACUAUUCAGCCAUAAGAGGAUGAAAUCCUAUCAUUUGUCACAGCAUGGAUGGAACUGGAGAUCAUCAUGUUAACUGAAGUAAGCCAGGCACAGAUAGACAAGUAUUGCAUGAUAUCACCCAUAUCUAAUCUAAAAAAUUGAUCUCAUAGAAGUAGCAAGGAUAGCCAUAGCUAUUCUGCUCUAUCUAUUUCAGAAUAACAGGGUAAAUCUAAAAUGUCUCAUUAAAACCGGUGAUAGAUAAUGA